rnacentral:rRNA from 1 species
CCUACGGGUGGCAGCAGUGAGGAAUAUUGGUCAAUGGGCACAAGCCUGACCCAGCAAUGCCGCGUGAAGGAAGAAGGCCCUCGGGUUGUAAACUUCUUUUAUCAGGGACGAAGGAUGUGACGGUUCCUGAUGACUAAGCUUCGGCUAACUACGGGCCAGCAGCCGCGGCAAUACGUAGGGAGCAAGCGUUAUCCGGAAUUACUGGGUGUAAAGGGCGCGUAGGCGGGAUGGGAAGUCAGAGGUGAAAUCCAGGGGCUCAACCCCAGAACUGCAUUUGAAACUGUCGUUCUUGAGUGCGGGAGAGGUAGGCGGAAUUCCUAGUGUAGCGGUGAAAUGCGUAGAUAUUAGGAGGAACACCAGUGGCGAAGGCAGCUUACUGGGCUUUAACUGACGCUGAGGCUCGAAAGCGUGGGUAGCAAACAGGAUUAGAUACCCCAGUAGUC